rnacentral:tRNA from 1 species
CAGUAGCUCAGCCGGAUAGAGCAACGGCCUUCUAAUCCGUAGGUCGGGGGUUCGAGUCCCUCCUGG